rnacentral:rRNA from 1 species
AUUGAACGCUGGCGGCAGGCCUAACACAUGCAAGUCGAGCGGAUGAAGGGAGCUUGCUCCUGGAUUCAGCGGCGGACGGGUGAGUAAUGCCUAGGAAUCUGCCUGGUAGUGGGGGAUAACGUCCGGAAACGGGCGCUAAUACCGCAUACGUCCUGAGGGAGAAAGUGGGGGAUCUUCGGACCUCACGCUAUCAGAUGAGCCUAGGUCGGAUUAGCUAGUUGGUGGGGUAAAGGCCUACCAAGGCGACGAUCCGUAACUGGUCUGAGAGGAUGAUCAGUCACACUGGAACUGAGACACGGUCCAGACUCCGACGGGAGGCAGCAGUGGGGAAUAUUGGACAAAGGGCGAAAGCCUGAUCCAGCCAUGCCGCGUGUGUGAAGAAGGUCUUCGGAUUGUAAAGCACUUUAAGUUGGGAGGAAGGGCAGUAAGUUAAUACCUUGCUGUUUUGACGUUACCAACAGAAUAAGCACCGGCUAACUUCGUG